AGACAGAGAGAGGGGGGGAGAGAAAGAGAGAGGGAAGUCAGGGGCAGAAUAUUAGACAGAAAAAAAUAGAGGCAGAAAGAAAGACAAAUGAACAGAGAUUGACAGUGUGACAGAGAGAGAGAGGGUGAUAAGGAUAGAAAGAAGGGGGGGGUGAGAGAAAGGGUCAACAAAAAGAGCAGAGAAUAAAAUAAACAAGAGAUAGAAAGGGAGUCAGAAAGAAAAACAGACACAGUGAGAGAGAGAGAGAGAGAGAGAGAGAGAGAGAGAGAGAGAGAGAGAGAGAGAGAGAGAGAGAGAGAGAGAGAUUAAA